rnacentral:rRNA from 1 species
UACAGAGAGUGCAAGCGUUAAUCGGAAUUACUGGGCGUAAAGCGCGCGUAGGUGGAUACUUAAGUCGGAUGUGAAAUCCCUGGGCUUAACCUAGGAAUUGCAUUUGAUACUGGGUAUCUCGAGUAUGGUAGAGGGAAGUGGAAUUUCCGGUGUAGCGGUGAAAUGCGUAGAUAUCGGAAAGAACACCAGCGGCGAAGGCGGCUUUCUGGUCCGAUACUGACGCUGAGGUGCGAAAGCGUGGGGAGCGAUCCGG